ACUCAAAGGAAUAGACGGGGGCCCGCACAAGCAGUGGAGUAUGUGGUUUAAUUCGACGCGACGCGAAGAACCUUACCAGGGCUUGACAUCCUACUAACGAGGCAGAGAUGCGUUAGGUGCCCUUCGGGGAAAGUAGAGACAGGUGGUGCAUGGUUGUCGUCAGCUCGUGUCGUGAGAUGUUGGGUUAAGUCCCGCAACGAGCGCAACCCUUACGGUUAGUUGCUACGCGAGAGCACUCUAGCCGGACUGCCGUUGACAAAACGGAGGAAGGCGGGGACGACGUCAAAUCAUCAUGCCCCUUAUGUCCUGGGCUACACACGUACUACAAUGGCGGUCAUACAACGGGAUGCGACACAGCGAUGUGAAGCGGAACCCUUAAAAGCCGCCUCAGUUCGGAUUGCAGGCUGCAACUCGCCUGCAUGAAGUCGGAAUUGCUAGUAAUCGCGGAUCAGCAUGCCGCGGUGAAUACGUUCCCGGGCCUUGCACACACCGCCCGU
rnacentral:rRNA from 1 species